GCUGAGCUAAAUCCCCAGCCCCACCAUUUAAUUUUUUAAAAAUUAUCAAGAAACUGGAUCUGUGAUUUGAAGAUCUUAAAAGUCACUUCAGGAAUGACAUUUAAAUCAGGCCUUACUAACUUGUUCAACAGUAGGAUUUAACCAUUUUUUGCCGCUGUUCUAUAAAUGACACAUGCAAUCAACCUCAAGUCAUUUUUGGGAAGAAAUUGUUAUGGCGUGUAUGUAGAUGUGCCCCCAAAGCCUCAUGCACUUAUGAGUGGGGCUUUUGAGAGAUGGCUGGAUCUGUGGUGUGCGAGUAUGGGUUAUAGGCGUGUAAUAACUGGCUCAGUCCACUGAUUGGAUCACACAGUUCUGGCUGUGGCUGAGGGAUUUACUGAAGACAGAAGACCCACCCUGCGUGUGAGUGGCACCAACCAAUAGGCUUGUAGCCUGAACGGAAUAAAAAGGUCAAGGCAGGCUCACUGCGUGAUGCUUUUCUGCUUGCCUUGCCAUGGACUGUUUCUCCUCUGCCAUGCUGCCCUGCCUUGGAGCCAGCUGACUGUGGACUGAAGCAUCCACAAACUUACAGGACAGCUUGCAAUUUGGUUGCAACUAGAAUCAUGCAAUGAAUUCUGUGGCUGGAAUCAUGGAAAGAAUUAAGUUCGCAAACCAAGUCGAGUCAGGCAUGGUGGCACACAUCUGUAUUCCCAGCA